rnacentral:tRNA from 1 species
ACCUGGCUGGCUCAGUUGGUAGAGCAUGAGACUCUUGAUCUUGGGGUCGUGAGUUCAAGUCCCACACUGGGGG